AAAAAAGCUGUUCUAUUAAAUCUCCCGAGG
rnacentral:piRNA from 1 species